rfam:Microgenomates (Amesbacteria) bacterium GW2011_GWC1_46_24 TX46_C0015, whole genome shotgun sequence.
GGAGGAUGGGUAGGACGGCAAUACGCGAGUUUCGAAAACUCGUGAGCGUAAGCUCUAGCAGGUUCGACUCCUGCAUCCUCCG